AAUCCCAAGAAGCAUAUUAAAAUAGAAUUCACUGAGUUCGAAAACACUGCAUUCAAAGAUAGGAUUGCUCCUCUUGUAGGCACAUCAAAACUCAUUUUAAAGUAAUUAGUUCAGGUAUUGAUGACUGUAGUUGCACCAGCAAAAGGCUCACUUACCCAUCUAGUUGGAUGUGUACUUUACUGCCAGCUAGUACAGAAUUAAGUCUUCCUAAAGCCAUGCUGCUAACAAUGUUACAACAUGGCUAUUUCACAACCAUUUUCUUUUUAUUUCCAUAUACCACAACCACAUCUUCAACUGUUAAGACAUACUCAGAAUGACACUCCCUGCUGGCAGAGACGUACUGAACAUGAUGUUGACAAGCACGUAGCUCCAAAAAUGUCUAUUGACUUCAGUUGUCAAACUAACAAUCAAUUCUCUAAUGUCUGUACUGCGCAUUUACUGUUGCAGUAAACAUAAAAGCUCACAGUGAACACACAGUUCCCAGAAGUUUCAAGAUGAGCAUCCACGAACUGAGGAACUCAUAACUGGCUAGAGUUUUGAGAAGACACUGGCUAAAUUUGCUGCCUUUCACAUCCCCACUAGCAGAGAAAAUGCUAUCUUGUUUGUUUAAAAUGCUUGAUUUUACUGAAGGAUCACUGUGUUGCAGAUCUGUACACACAUAAAUAUUUAUAUAUCACUAUAAAUAUGUCUAUCGUUGCACGAAUUAUAGUGUGCUAAAAGAUUUAAUAUUUUGAAACCAUCUUGUCUUUAGAGGUCUCCACUGAGUUGCGACCUCCAACAGCAGAACCAGCCUCUGGUGUCCUGGCCAGCGCUAACAGAAGUUAGCGAAAGUAUUUGCUUGGAGUUCAGUGGAUAUAUUAGGCCUUCAAUGUACAGUCCUUAUCAGUCAACAGGUGUGUUGCAACCAAGAAACAAAAAGGAAAACACAAUUUUGCAGUUCCUUCACACUGUCUUCCUGAAAAUAAGUAGAAUUACAAUACGGUGUAUUAGAGAGUUACUUUGUGUAGCCUGUUGUAAACUGUUACCCAGACCAAGCUUAAACAUCCUUGGCAGUGUGAAACCACAGAUAUUGCUGGUCCAACAAAGAGAUCUCUGAAAGACAUCUCUUUCUUUCAGCCUGACAUGUGAGAUCUCAUUUGGGAAAUGCUGGCCUGGGUGCAUUUUAAGAUUUUUAAGAUUUUUAAGAUUUUAAGUACAUUUUAAGAUUUUAGGUUACAGGAAAGGUGUUCUGUAGCUGUAGAAAGCAAUCCAAGCUUGAUAUAGAGCUGAUCUCCUGGUGAGGUCAAAGGCUAACUCAAAUGGCGUAAGCCUACUAUCUUCCACAUCCACUGCUUCUACUUUCAUAUUUUCAUCUUUCCUAAAUAAGAGUAAACUAAAAUCUUGCAAU